rnacentral:rRNA from 1 species
UACGUAGGGUCCGAGCGUUGUCCGGAAUUAUUGGGCGUAAAGGGCUCGUAGGCGGUUAGUCGCGUCGGGAGUGAAAACUCAGGGCUCAACCCUGAGCGUGCUUCCGAUACGGGCUGACUAGAGGUAUGCAGGGGAGAACGGAAUUCCUGGUGUAGCGGUGGAAUGCGCAGAUAUCAGGAGGAACACCGAUGGCGAAGGCAGGUCUCUGGGCCGCAACUGACGCUGAGGAGCGAAAGCAUGGGGAGCGAACAGG